rnacentral:tRNA from 1 species
GGGGCUGUAGCUCAGGGGGAGAGCAUCUCGUUCGCAACGAGGGGGUCGAGGGUUCAAAUCCCUCCAGCUCCA